AAGAAGAAGAAAUUCAAAGAGAAAUCCUCCAUCCCUCUCAGCUCCCAUUCAAAAGUUUGGAGCCCCGCCCCCUCCCGCUGUCACUCAAAGAUUACAUCACCUUCUGAUCAUCAGGUGCCACGCGCGCGCA